AGUGAACGCUGGCGGUAGGCCUAACACAUGCAAGUCGAACGGCAGCACAGUAAGAGCUUGCUCUUACGGGUGGCGAGUGGCGGACGGGUGAGGAAUACAUCGGAAUCUACUUUUUCGUGGGGGUUAACGUAGGGAAACUUACGCUAAUACCGCAUACGACCUACGGGUGAAAGCAGGGGAUCUUCGGACCUUGCGCGAUUGAAUGAGCCGAUGUCGGAUUAGCUAGUUGGCGGGGUAAGGGCCCACCAAGGCGACGAUCCGUAGCUGGUCCGAGAGGAUGAUCAGCCACACUGGAACUGAGACACGGUCCAGACUCCUACGGGAGGCAGCAGUGGGGAAUAUUGGACAAUGGGCGCAAGCCUGAUCCAGCCAUACCGCGUGGGUGAAGAAGGCCUUCGGGUUGUAAAGCCCUUUUGUUGGGAAAGAAAAGCAGCAGGUUAAUACCCCGCUGUUCUGACGGUACCCAAAGAAUAAGCACCGGCUAACUUCGUG
rnacentral:rRNA from 1 species